AUUGAACGCUGGCGGCAGGCUUAACACAUGCAAGUCGAACGGUAACAUAAAGAAGCUUGCUUCUUUGAUGACGAGUGGCGGACGGGUGAGUAAUGCUUGGGAAUCUAGCUUAUGGAGGGGGAUAACUACGGGAAACUGUAGCUAAUACCGCGUAAUAUCGAAAGAUUAAAGUGUGGGACCUUCGGGCCACAUGCCAUAGGAUGAGCCCAAGUGGGAUUAGGUAGUUGGUGAGGUAAAGGCUCACCAAGCCGACGAUCUCUAGCUGGUCUGAGAGGAUGACCAGCCACACUGGGACUGAGACACGGCCCAGACUCCUACGGGAGGCAGCAGUGGGGAAUAUUGCGCAAUGGGGGCAACCCUGACGCAGCCAUGCCGCGUGAAUGAAGAAGGCCUUCGGGUUGUAAAGUUCUUUCGGUAGCGAGGAAGGCAUUUAGUUUAAUAGACUAGGUGAUUGACGUAA
rnacentral:rRNA from 1 species